rnacentral:rRNA from 1 species
CCAAAGUCAUGGUUAAGUGGGAAACGAUGUGGGAAGGCACAGACAGCCAGGAUGUUGGCUUAGAAGCAGCCAUCAUUUAAAGAAAGCGUAAUAGCUCACUGGUCGAGUCGGCCUGCGCGGAAGAUGUAACGGGGCUAAACCAUGCACCGAAGCUGCGGCAGCGACACUAUGUGUUGUUGGGUAGGGGAGCGUUCUGUAAGCCUGCGAAGGUG